UACGUAGGGUGCGAGCGUUGUCCGGAUUUAUUGGGCGUAAAGAGCUCGUAGGCGGUUUGUCGCGUCGGCCGUGAAAUCUCCACGCUUAACGUGGAGCGUGCGGUCGAUACGGGCAGACUUGAGUUCGGUAGGGGAGACUGGGAAUUCCUGGUGUAGCGGUGAAAUGCGCAGAUAUCAGGAGGAACACCGGUGGCGAAGGCGGGUCCUCUGGGCCGAUACUGACGCUGGAGGAGCGAAAGCGUGGGGAGCGAACAGG
rnacentral:rRNA from 1 species